rnacentral:lncRNA from 1 species
GCAGGGGAGACCUCAUGGCCCAGAUCUUCCAAUUAAGGGGUGUCCUGACUAAGGAGUCAGUCCAGAGCCCCACCCCCAAGCCUGGUAUCUGUCAGAUUAUUUCCUGAGCCUGUCAGUGGGUUGGAGUGCCCAGGCCUUGUGUGCUGCUGUGGGGGAGGGUCUCAGACAUAUCGGCUAAACAUGGACAGCCUGGUUUUCUUGAAGGAGAAGACUCCAUAGCAGGAUGAAGCUCCCUGGGCUAAAACCCCCCAGCCUCAGGCAUCUCUGCCCCGGACACAUGUUUUAGGAUCCAUCCCAUCUGCGUUUCCCCACACUGCGGGCUUGUCCUUGGAACCCACUGAAGAAUCCUUCCUUGUGUGCAGCUGCCUUCUGGGGAAUGGUCCUGCUGACCCGAUGCUGGCGUGGAAAUGUUUCUCUCCUGCGACACAGCUCCAUCAUGAUUGCAGCAGGUCAUGAAGCAGAAGGAAGGCUCUGAGCU